GAGUUUGAUCGUGGCUCAGAACGAACGGUGGCGGCGUGGAUAAGACAUGCAAGUCGAACGGGACUUUCAUUGUAGCAAUAUGAUGGAAGUUCAGUGGCGCAAGGGUGCGUAACACGUGGGAAAUCUGCCGAGAAGUGGGGGAUAGCUCGCCGAAAGGCGAAUUAAUACCGCAUUGUGGUCAGCGAAGACAUCUUCGCGAAACCAAAGCCGGGGCAACCUGGCGCUUCUUGAUGAUCCCGCGGCCUAUCAGCUAGUUGGCGGGGUAAAAGCCCACCAAGGCGAUGACGGGUAGCUGGUCUGAGAGGACGACCAGCCACACUGGAACUGAGACACGGUCCAGACACCUACGGGUGGCAGCAGUCGAGAAUUUUUCUCAAUGGGCGCAAGCCUGAAGGAGCGACGCCGCGUGGAGGAUGAAGGUCUUCGGAUUGUAAACUCCUGUCAUUAGGGACAAAUCUUCCAAGUAACUACUGGAAGUCUGAUAGUACCUGAAGAGGAAGAGACGGCU
rnacentral:rRNA from 1 species